rnacentral:rRNA from 1 species
GUUGUAGGACACUCUAUACGGAGUUACAAAGGACGACAUUAGACGAAUCAUCUGGAAAGAUGAAUCAAAGAAGGUAAUAAUCCUGUAGUCGAAAAUGUUGUCUCUCUUGAGUGGAUCCUGAGUACGACGGAGCACGUGAAAUUCCGUCGGAAUCUGGGAGGACCAUCUCCUAAGGCUAAAUACUCUCUAGUGACCGAUAGUGAACCAGUACCGUGAGGGAAAGGUGAAAAGCACCCCGGAAGGGGAGUGAAAUAGAACCUGAAACCGUGUGCUUACAAGUAGUCAGAGCCCGUUAAUGGGUGAUGGCGUGCCUUUUGUAGAAUGAACCGGCGAGUUACGAUUUGAUGCAAGGUUAAGCAGUAAAUGUGGAGCCGUAGCGAAAGCGAGUCUGAAUAGGGCGUUUAGUAUUUGGUCGUAGACCCGAAACCAGGUGAUCUACCCUUGGUCAGGUUGAAGUUCAGGUAACACUGAAUGGAGGACCGAACCGACUUACGUUGAAAAGUGAGCGGAUGAACUGAGGGUAGCGGAGAAAUUCCAAUCGAACCUGGAGAUAGCUGGUUCUCUCCGAAAUAGCUUUAGGGCUAGCCUCAAGUGAUGAUUAUUGGAGGUAGAGCACUGUUUGGACGAGGGGCCCCUCUCGGGUUACCGAAUUCAGACAAACUCCGAAUGCCAAUUAAUUUAACUUGGGAGUCAGAACAUGGGUGAUAAGGUCCGUGUUCGAAAGGGAAACAGCCCAGACCACCAGCUAAGGUCCCAAAAUAUAUGUUAAGUGGAAAAGGAUGUGGCGUUGCCCAGACAACUAGGAUGUUGGCUUAGAAGCAGCCAUCAUUUAAAGAGUGCGUAAUAGCUCACUAGUCGAGUGACACUGCGCCGAAAAUGUACCGGGGCUAAACAUAUUACCGAAGCUGUGGAUUGUCCUUUGGACAAUGGUAGGAGAGCGUUCUAAGGGCGUUGAAGCAUGAUCGUAAGGACAUGUGGAGCGCUUAGAAGUGAGAAUGCCGGUGUGAGUAGCGAAAGACGGGUGAGAAUCCCGUCCACCGAUUGACUAAGGUUUCCAGAGGAAGGCUCGUCCGCUCUGGGUUAGUCGGGUCCUAAGCUGAGGCCGACAGGCGUAGGCGAUGGAUAACAGGUUGAUAUUCCUGUACCACCUAUAAUCGUUUUAAUCGAUGGGGGGACGCAGUAGGAUAGGCGAAGCGUGCGAUUGGAUUGCACGUCUAAGCAGUAAGGCUGAGUAUUAGGCAAAUCCGGUACUCGUUAAGGCUGAGCUGUGAUGGGGAGAAGACAUUGUGUCUUCGAGUCGUUGAUUUCACACUGCCGAGAAAAGCCUCUAGAUAGAAAAUAGGUGCCCGUACCGCAAACCGACACAGGUAGUCAAGAUGAGAAUUCUAAGGUGAGCGAGCGAACUCUCGUUAAGGAACUCGGCAAAAUGACCCCGUAACUUCGGGAGAAGGGGUGCUCUUUAGGGUUAACGCCCAGAAGAGCCGCAGUGAAUAGGCCCAAGCGACUGUUUAUCAAAAACACAGGUCUCUGCUAAACCGUAAGGUGAUGUAUAGGGGCUGACGCCUGCCCGGUGCUGGAAGGUUAAGAGGAGUGGUUAGCUUCUGCGAAGCUACGAAUCGAAGCCCCAGUAAACGGCGGCCGUAACUAUAACGGUCCUAAGGUAGCGAAAUUCCUUGUCGGGUAAGUUCCGACCCGCACGAAAGGCGUAACGAUUUGGGCACUGUCUCAACGAGAGACUCGGUGAAAUCAUAGUACCUGUGAAGAUGCAGGUUACCCGCGACAGGACGGAAAGACCCCGUGGAGCUUUACUGUAGCCUGAUAUUGAAAUUCGGCACAGCUUGUACAGGAUAGGUAGGAGCCUUUGAAACGUGAGCGCUAGCUUACGUGGAGGCGCUGGUGGGAUACUACCCUAGCUGUGUUGGCUUUCUAACCCGCACCACUUAUCGUGGUGGGAGACAGUGUCAGGCGGGCAGUUUGACUGGGGCGGUCGCCUCCUAAAAGGUAACGGAGGCGCUCAAAGGUUCCCUCAGAAUGGUUGGAAAUCAUUCAUAGAGUGUAAAGGCAUAAGGGAGCUUGACUGCGA